AUCUGAAUGAUUCUAGUUUUGAUGUUUUGGGGUGGUGGAAAUUUCAUGGACCAAUGUAUCCAAUUGUAGCAGUGAUAGCUCGUGAUAUAUUAGCAAUUCCUGCGUCAUCGGUGGCUUCUGAAUCUGUUUUCAGCACCAGUGGUAGAGUUGUAGAUAAAUUUCGUUCUUCAAUGCUUCCAGAAAAAAUUGAAGCUCUGAUAUGCACACAAGAUUGGAUAAGAAGUGCGCUGAAGAAUGAGGGAUAUGGGUUAGGUAGUACUUCACUUCAGACUCUUUUGGAGGCAAUGGAGGAGCUCGAGUCAGACGAUGAUGAUGCAACAUCGCACAUUGUCUAACUGACUGACUAUCAAUUUAAGGAACAAUUGGAAAUAUGAUGGUUGGAACUUCUUUUUGGUAUAUAUAUAUUAUAUAGGCAUAGCCAAAGAACAUGCGAAGUGCGCGAACUACAUCCUUCUUUUUUGUAUAUGUACUUGUGAAGGAAAAACGCAUUUAUCUU